UACGAAGGGGGCUAGCGUUGCUCGGAAUCACUGGGCGUAAAGGGUGCGUAGGCGGGUCUUUUAAGUCAGGGGUGAAAUCCUGGAGCUCAACUCCAGAACUGCCUUUGAUACUGAAGAUCUUGAGUUCGGGAGAGGUGAGUGGAACUGCGAGUGUAGAGGUGAAAUUCGUAGAUAUUCGCAAGAACACCCGUGGCGAAGGCGGCUCUCUGGGACGGUACUGACGCUGAGACGCGAAAGCGUGGGGAGCAAACAGG
rnacentral:rRNA from 1 species